CUGAUGAGCCAUGCCGCGUGUAUGAAGAAGGCCUUCGGGUUGUAAAGUACUUUCAGCGGGGAGAGGGGCAGGUUAAUAACCUCAGCAAUUGACGUUACCCGAGAAAAGGAGCGGGUAACUCCGUGCCAGCAGCCGCGGUAAUACGGAGGGUGCAAGCGUUAAUCGGAAUUACUGGGCGUAUCUGCGACAGCAAAGCGGUCUGUCAAGUCGGAUGUGAAAUCCCCGGGCUCAACCUGGGAACUGCAUUCGAAACUGGCAGGCUAGAGCUUGUAGAGGGGGGUAGAAUUCCAGGUGUAGCGGUGAAAUGCGUAGAGAUCUGGAGGAAU
rnacentral:rRNA from 1 species